UAUGUUAGAUUUAACUGGACAGGGCAGAGACCUGCCAGUCAAGCUUCAGCACCUGGAUGAGAUUUUGCAUAUAAACCCCUUGAACCAAUUGCUUAUGGCCACUGCAGGAUUCAAACAAUCCAGGCCUUUAUGAUCACAAAUCACACCUCCCACAAAUGCCAAGAUUAAUUGAAAAAGUUUUAUUGCAAAAUUAUACAACUCAUAGUUUUGUGGUACAAGAAUUCAAAACAAGAAGCAGACACUUCCAUUCACAUGAUGCAAAUUGGCACUCUCCCAAUGUGUUCUCCACACUCCCACCCACCCUAUCCUGUAUAAAUGUGUAACAGACAUGGGUUUCAGUGCACAGAUUUGCAGUGCUCGGACAGUAUUUUGUGCACUCUGAUACAGGCCCGUGCCCCCCUUUCCCCCCCACCAUCACUCUGUUGGCGAUGCUUGUCAGAGCUUUAACUGGAGAUGUUAAGGACAGCAUUGCUUUACUGGGCUACCUGGCUGGGAUUUU